ACCUGGGGGGCUCAGUUGGUUGAGUGUCUGACUUCAGCUCAGAUGGCAAUCUCAUGGUUCGUGAGUUCAAGCCCCACAUCAGGCU
rnacentral:tRNA from 1 species